rnacentral:rRNA from 1 species
GCAAGAUACCACGGGCGCACGGCGGAUGCCUUGGCACAGGGAGCCGAUGAAGGACGCGGCAAGCUGCGAUAAUCCCCGGCGAGGAGCACACAUCCUUCGACCCGGGGGUCUCCGAAUGGGCGAACCCAUCCACAGCAGUGUGGAUAUCCCCACCCCGAACACAUAGGGGCGGGGAGGACAACCCGGGGAACUGAAACAUCUAAGUACCCGGAGGAGAGGAAAUCAAUCUCGAGACUCCCCGAGUAGCGGCGAGCGAAAGGGGACCGAUGGCCAAACCGUCGAGCGGGCAUACCCGGCAGGGGUUCCGCCGACGGGGUUGCAGGGCCGCGCAUCCGGGGGCUGCCGCCCCCGGGCGCAGGUCCGGCUGGGGAGCGGAACGGCAUGGGAGGGCCGGCCGCAGCGGGUGACAGCCCCGUACGCGAACCCAGACCGGACGGCGCGACGCGGUCCCUGAGUAGGGCCGGGCACGUGAAACCCGGUCCGAACCUGGGUGGACCACCAUCCAAGCCUGAGUACUACCCUGUGACCGAUAGCGCACCAGUACCGUGAGGGAAAGGUGAAAAGCACCCCGGGAGGGGAGUGAAACAGUACCUGAAACCGUGCGCCCACGAGCAGUCGGAGCACCUAUAUGGUGUGACGGCGUGCCUUUUGUAGAAUGAGCCAGCGAGUCGCUGGCGCGGGGCGAGGUUAACCGAAAGGGAGCCGGAGCGAAAGCGAGCCUUAACAGGGCGACUUGAGUCCCGCGCCGCGGACGCGAAGCCGGGUGAGCUAUCCGUGGGCAGGCUGAAGCGGGGGUAAGACCCCGUGGAGGGCCGAACGCACGUCGGUUGAAAACGGCGGCGAUGACCUGCGGAUAGGGGUGAAAGGCCAAUCAAACCCGGAGAUAUCUCGUUCUCCCCGAAAUAGCUUUAGGGCUAGCGUCGCGCGUUCACCGCCGGAGGUAGAGCACCGGAUGGACGAGGGGGCUUCGCCGCCUACCGAAUCCAACCGAACUCCGAAUGCCGGCGGCCCAGAGCGCGGCAGUCAGAGCAUGUGGGCUAAGCUGUGUGCUCGAGAGGGAAACAGCCCGGACCGCCCGCUAAGGUCCCCAAGUUCCAGCCGAGUGGCAAAGGAUGUGCGUCCGCCCAGACAACCAGGAUGUUGGCUUAGAAGCAGCCAUCCAUUCAAAGAGUGCGUAACAGCUCACUGGUCGAGUGGACAUGCGCCGACAAUACACGGGGCUAAGCUGGACACCGAAGCGGCGGGAUUUUAUCUAUAUAGAAUCGGUAGGGGAGCUUCCCAUGGGCGGUGAAGCCGCCGGGCGACCGGCGGUGGAGCGCAUGGGAGUGAGAAUGCUGGCAUGAGUAGCGAGAGACGAGAGAGUAACUCGUCCGCCGUGAACCCGAGGUUUCCUGGGCAAGGCUAAUCCUCCCAGGGUCAGUCGGGGGCUAAGGCGAGGCCGGAAGGCGUAGCCGACGCGCAGCAGGCAGACAUUCCUGCACCGCGCACGCGGCGCUACGACCGACGGGGCGACGGAUGGGGGUGGCUCGGCGGGGUUCUGGACGUCCCCGUGAUGGAGCGCGGCCCGCGGACCAGGGAAAUCCGGUCCGCACGAGGGCGAGGCUCCGGACGAAGCGAUCAAGCGAAGCGAGUGAGCCCGAGGUCCCUAGAAAAACCCCUAGGCAGGCGCGUGCGCGCCCGUACCGCAAACCGACACAGGUGGGUGGGUAGAACAUACCGAGGCGAUCGGGUCAACCAUGGUCAAGGAACUCGGCACAAUGGCCCCGUAACUUCGGGAGAAGGGGUGCCCGCGCGUACGUGAACGGACUUGCUCCGGGAGCGGAGGCGGGCCGCAGUGGAGAGGCCCAAGCGACUGUUUACCAAAAACACAGGACUCUGCAGAAGCCGCAAGGCGACGUAUAGGGUCUGACGCCUGCCCGGUGCCGGAAGGUCACGCGGAGGAGUUAGCCGCAAGGCGAAGCCCCGAAGCCAAGCCCCGGUAAACGGCGGCCGUAACUAUAACGGUCCUAAGGUAGCGAAAUUCCUUGUCGGGUAAGUUCCGACCUGCACGAAAGGCGCAACGACUUGGGCGCUGUCUCGACCAUGGACCCGGUGAAAUUGCACUGGUCGUGAAGAUGCGACUUACCCGCGGAAGGACGGAAAGACCCCGUGAACCUUCACUGCAGCUUGGCAUUGGCCGCUGGUCCCGCGUGUAGAGGAUAGGCAGGAGGCACAGAUCCGGAGGCGCCAGCCCCCGGGGAGCCGCCCUUGGAAUACUGCCCUCGCGCGACCGGCGUCCUAACCCGAGGCCGUCAACCGGCUCGGGGACCGUGCCAGGCGGGCAGUUUGACUGGGGCGGUCGCCUCCUAAAGGGUAACGGAGGCGCGCGAAGGUCCGCUCGGGACGGUCGGCAACCGUCCUUUUGAAUGCAAGAGUACAAGCGGGCUUGACUGCGAGGCCCACAAGCCGAGCAGGUGCGAAAGCAGGCUCUAGUGAUCCGGCGGCCCCGAGUGGGUGGGCCGUCGCUCAACGGAUAAAAGGUACUCCGGGGAUAACAGGCUGAUCUUGCCCAAGAGUCCACAUCGACGGCAAGGUUUGGCACCUCGAUGUCGGCUCAUCGCAUCCUGGGGCUGGAGCAGGUCCCAAGGGUACGGCUGUUCGCCGUUUAAAGCGGUACGCGAGCUGGGUUCAGAACGUCGUGAGACAGUUCGGUCCCUAUCCUCCGUGGGCGCAGGAGAAUCGAUGGAGGCUGCCCCCAGUACGAGAGGACCGGGGUGGACGCACCUCCGGUGAACCGGUUGUCGACCAACGGCACGGCCGGGUAGCCGCGUGCGGCGCGGAUAACCGCUGAAGGCAUCUAAGCGGGAAGCCGUUCCAGGGAUUAGUUCUCCUUCCGGUAAGGGCCCAGGUAGACUACCUGGUCGAUAGACGGCAGGUGCAAGGCUGGCGACAGCCUCAGCCGAGCCGCACUAAUCGCCCGAGCUCUUCCGGAA